rnacentral:rRNA from 1 species
AGCUCCAAUAGCGUAUAUUAAAGUUGUUGCGGUUAAAAAGCUCGUAGUUGGAUUUCUGCUGAGGACGAUCGGUCCGCCCUCUGGGUGAGUAUCUGGCUCGGCCUUGGCAUCUUCUUGGAGAACGUUGCUGCACUUGACUGUGUGGCGCGGUGUCCAGGACUUUUACUUUGAGGAAAUUAGAGUGUUUCAAGCAGGCGCACGCCUUGAAUACGUUAGCAUGGAAUAAUAAGAUAGGACCUCGGUUCUAUUUUGUUGGUUUCUAGAGCUGAGGUAAUGAUUAAUAGGGAUAGUUGGGGGCAUUCGUAUUUAAUUGUCAGAGGUGAAAUUCUUGGAUCUAUUAAAGACGAACUACUGCGAAAGCAUUUGCCAAGGAUGUUUUCA